CUACGGGUCGCUGCAGUGGGGAAUAUUGCACAAUGGAGGAAACUCUGAUGCAGCAACGCCGCGUGGAGGAUGACACUUUUCGGAGCGUAAACUCCUUUUAUAUAGGAAGAAGAUGACGGUACUAUAUGAAUAAGCGCCGGCUAACUCCGUGCCAGCAGCCGCGGUAAUACGGAGGGCGCAAGCGUUACGCGGAAUCACUGGGCGUAAAGAGCGUGUAGGCGGAUUAAAAAGUCAGAAGUGAAAUCCUAUAGCUUAACUAUAGAACUGCUUCUGAAACUCUUAAUCUAGAAUAUGGGAGAGGUAGAUGGAAUUUCUGGUGUAGGGGUAAAAUCCGUAGAGAUCAGAAGGAAUACCGAUUGCGAAGGCGAUCUACUAGAACAUUAUUGACGCUGAGACGCGAAAGCGUGGGGAGCAAACAGGAUUAGAUACCCGCGUAGCC
rnacentral:rRNA from 1 species